rnacentral:rRNA from 1 species
GAAGCAGCCACCCUUUAAAGAAAGCGUAAUAGCUCACUAGUCGAGUCGGCCUGCGCGGAAGAUGUAACGGGGCUAAAACUAUGUGCCGAAGCUGCGGAUUUGACAUUAGUCAAGUGGUAGGGGAGCGUUCUGUAAGCCGAUGAAGGUGUAUUGAGAAGUAUGCUGGAGGUAUCAGAAGUGCGAAUGCUGACGUGAGUAACGACAAAACGGGUGAAAAACCCGUUCGCCGAAAGACCAAGGGUUCCAGUCCAACGUUAANNNNNNNNNNNNNNNNNNUCGGGGCUGGGUGAGUCGACCCCUAAGGCGAGGCCGAAAGGCGUAGUCGAUGGGAAAAUGGUUAAUAUUCCAUUACUUCUGUGUAAUGCGAUGAGAGGACGGAGAAGGCUAAAUCAGCCUGGCGUUGGUUGUCCAGGUGAAAGGAUGUAGGCAUGUAUCUUAGGCAAAUCCGGGGUACUCUAUGCUGAGAUCUGAUAGCAAGCUGUACUUGUACAGCGAAGUGGUUGAUGCCAUGCUUCCAGGAAAAGUCUCUAAGCUUCAGUUACACAGGAAUCGUACCCGAAACCGACACAGGUGGUCAGGUCGAGUAGACCAAGGCGCUUGAGAGAACUCUGCUGAAGGAACUAGGCAAAAUGGUACCGUAACUUCGGGAGAAGGUACGCUGUUGUUGGUGAUGGAACUCGCUUCCUGAGCUGACGACAGCCGCAGAAACCAGGCCGCUGCAACUGUUUAUUAAAAACAUAGCACUCUGCAAACACGAAAGUGGACGUAUAGGGUGUGAUGCCUGCCCGGUGCUGGAAGGUUAAUUGAUGGGGUUAGCGUAAGCGAAGCUCUUGAUCGAAGCCCCAGUAAACGGCGGCCGUAACUAUAACGGUCCUAAGGUAGCGAAAUUCCUUGUCGGGUAAGUUCCGACCUGCACGAAUGGCAUAAUGAUGGCGGCGCUGUCUCCAGCAGAGGCUCAGUGAAAUCGAAAUCGCUGUGAAGAUGCAGUGUACCCGCGGCUAGACGGAAAGACCCCGUGAACCUUUACUGCAGCUUGACACUGAACUUUGACCUUACUUGUGUAGGAUAGGUGGGAGGCUUUGAAGCUGGAACGCUAGUUCCAGUGGAGCCGUCCUUGAAAUACCACCCUGGUAAUGUUGAGGUUCUAACUCUGUCCCGUGAUCCGGGACGAGGACCGUGUCUGGUGGGUAGUUUGACUGGGGCGGUCUCCUCCUAAAGAGUAACGGAGGAGUACGAAGGUGCGCUCAGCGUGGUCGGAAAUCACGCGUAGAGUAUAAAGGCAAAAGCGCGCUUAACUGCGAGACCCACAAGUCGAGCAGGUACGAAAGUAGGUCUUAGUGAUCCGGUGGUUCUGUAUGGAAGGGCCAUCGCUCAACGGAUAAAAGGUACUCUGGGGAUAACAGGCUGAUACCGCCCAAGAGUUCAUAUCGACGGCGGUGUUUGGCACCUCGAUGUCGGCUCAUCUCAUCCUGGGGCUGAAGCAGGUCCCAAGGGUAUGGCUGUUCGCCAUUUAAAGAGGUACGCGAGCUGGGUUUAGAACGUCGUGAGACAGUUCGGUCCCUAUCUACCGUGGGCGCUGGAAAUUUGAGAGGAUCUGCUCCUAGUACGAGAGGACCAGAGUGGACGAACCUCUGGUGUACCGGUUGUGACGCCAGUCGCAUCGCCGGGUAGCUAUGUUCGGAAGGGAUAACCGCUGAAAGCAUCUAAGCGGGAAGCCUACCUCAAGAUAAGAUUUCCCUAGGACUUUAUGUCCUCUAAAGAGCCGUUCGAGACUAGGACGUUGAUAGGUUGGAUGUGGAAGCAUAGUGAUAUGUGAAGCUGACCAAUACUAAUUGCUCGUGAGGCUUGACUAUACAACACCCAAGCAGUUG